UCUGUAGGCGGUGCGGCAAGUCGGAAGUGAAAUCUCAGGGCUCAACUCUGAGUCUGCUUUCGAAACUGCCGUGCUGGAGUGCGGGAGAGGUGAGUGGAAUUGCAGGUGUAGCGGUGAAAUGCGUAGAUAUCUGUAGGAACACCAGAGGCGAAGGCGGCUCACUGGACCGCAACUGACGCUGAGAGACGAAAGCUAGGGGAGCAAACAGGAUUAGAUACCCUGGUAGUCCUAGCCCUAAACCAUCAGGACUUGGCGUGGGUCCCGUUCGGGGCCCGUGUCGGAGCUAACGUGUGAAGUCCUGCGCCUGGGGAGUACGGCCGCAAGGCUGAA
rnacentral:rRNA from 1 species